rnacentral:rRNA from 1 species
GGGACAGAGUGACAGGUGGUGCAUGGUUGUCGUCAGCUCGUGUCGUGAGAUGUUGGGUUAAGUCCCGCAACGAGCGCAACCCUUGAUCUUAGUUGCCAGCAUUCAGUUGGGCACUCUAAGGUGACUGCCGGUGACAAACNGGAGGAAGGUGGGGAUGACGUCAAAUCAUCAUGCCCCUUAUGACCUGGGCUACACACGUGCUACAAUGGACAGAACAAAGGGCUGCAAGACCGCAAGGUUUAGCCAAUCCCAUAAAUCUGUUCUCAGUUCGGAUCGCAGUCUGCAACUCGACUGCGUGAAGCUGGAAUCGCUAGUAAUCGCGGAUCANCAUGCCGCGGUGAAUACGUUCCCGGGCCUUGUACACACCGCCCGUCACACCACGAGAGUUUGCAACACCCGAAGUCG